GCUAAGCAGCACGGAGUCAAUCUGAACACAGCUUCGACGCCCUUCCAGCAGGCGAGUGGCUAUGGGCAGCAUGGCUACGGAGCAGGCUAUGAUGACUUAACGCAGGGAACAGCAGCUGGAGAUUA